AGAUUAAGUUAUUAAGGGCGCACGGUGGAUGCCUUGGCACUAGAAGCCGAUGAAGGACGUUACUAACGACGAUAUGCUUUGGGGAGCUGUAAGUAAGCUUUGAUCCAGAGAUUUCCGAAUGGGGAAACCCAGCAUGAGUUAUGUCAUGUUAUCGAUAUGUGAAUACAUAGCAUAUCAGAAGGCACACCCGGAGAACUGAAACAUCUUAGUACCCGGAGGAAGAGAAAGAAAAUUCGAUUCCCUUAGUAGCGGCGAGCGAAACGGGAAGAGCCCAAACCAACAAGCUUGCUUGUUGGGGUUGUAGGACACUCUAUACGGAGUUACAAAGGACGACAUUAGACGAAUCAUCUGGAAAGAUGAAUCAAAGAAGGUAAUAAUCCUGUAGUCGAAAAUGUUGUCUCUCUUGAGUGGAUCCUGAGUACGACGGAGCACGUGAAAUUCCGUCGGAAUCUGGGAGGACCAUCUCCUAAGGCUAAAUACUCUCUAGUGACCGAUAGUGAACCAGUACCGUGAGGGAAAGGUGAAAAGCACCCCGGAAGGGGAGUGAAAUAGAACCUGAAACCGUGUGCUUACAAGUAGUCAGAGCCCGUUAAUGGGUGAUGGCGUGCCUUUUGUAGAAUGAACCGGCGAGUUACGAUUUGAUGCAAGGUUAAGCAGUAAAUGUGGAGCCGUAGCGAAAGCGAGUCUGAAUAGGGCGUUUAGUAUUUGGUCGUAGACCCGAAACCAGGUGAUCUACCCUUGGUCAGGUUGAAGUUCAGGUAACACUGAAUGGAGGACCGAACCGACUUACGUUGAAAAGUGAGCGGAUGAACUGAGGGUAGCGGAGAAAUUCCAAUCGAACCUGGAGAUAGCUGGUUCUCUCCGAAAUAGCUUUAGGGCUAGCCUCAAGUGAUGAUUAUUGGAGGUAGAGCACUGUUUGGACGAGGGGCCCCUCUCGGGUUACCGAAUUCAGACAAACUCCGAAUGCCAAUUAAUUUAACUUGGGAGUCAGAACAUGGGUGAUAAGGUCCGUGUUCGAAAGGGAAACAGCCCAGACCACCAGCUAAGGUCCCAAAAUAUAUGUUAAGUGGAAAAGGAUGUGGCGUUGCCCAGACAACUAGGAUGUUGGCUUAGAAGCAGCCAUCAUUUAAAGAGUGCGUAAUAGCUCACUAGUCGAGUGACACUGCGCCGAAAAUGUACCGGGGCUAAACAUAUUACCGAAGCUGUGGAUUGUCCUUUGGACAAUGGUAGGAGAGCGUUCUAAGGGCGUUGAAGCAUGAUCGUAAGGACAUGUGGAGCGCUUAGAAGUGAGAAUGCCGGUGUGAGUAGCGAAAGACGGGUGAGAAUCCCGUCCACCGAUUGACUAAGGUUUCCAGAGGAAGGCUCGUCCGCUCUGGGUUAGUCGGGUCCUAAGCUGAGGCCGACAGGCGUAGGCGAUGGAUAACAGGUUGAUAUUCCUGUACCACCUAUAAUCGUUUUAAUCGAUGGGGGGACGCAGUAGGAUAGGCGAAGCGUGCGAUUGGAUUGCACGUCUAAGCAGUAAGGCUGAGUAUUAGGCAAAUCCGGUACUCAUUAAGGCUGAGCUGUGAUGGGGAGAAGACAUUGUGUCUUCGAGUCGUUGAUUUCACACUGCCGAGAAAAGCCUCUAGAUAGAAAAUAGGUGCCCGUACCGCAAACCGACACAGGUAGUCAAGAUGAGAAUUCUAAGGUGAGCGAGCGAACUCUCGUUAAGGAACUCGGCAAAAUGACCCCGUAACUUCGGGAGAAGGGGUGCUCUUUAGGGUUAACGCCCAGAAGAGCCGCAGUGAAUAGGCCCAAGCGACUGUUUAUCAAAAACACAGGUCUCUGCUAAACCGUAAGGUGAUGUAUAGGGGCUGACGCCUGCCCGGUGCUGGAAGGUUAAGAGGAGUGGUUAGCAUUAGCGAAGCUACGAAUCGAAGCCCCAGUAAACGGCGGCCGUAACUAUAACGGUCCUAAGGUAGCGAAAUUCCUUGUCGGGUAAGUUCCGACCCGCACGAAAGGCGUAACGAUUUGGGCACUGCCUCAACGAGAGACUCGGUGAAAUCAUAGUACCGGUGAAGAUGCCGGUUACCCGCGACAGGACGGAAAGACCCCGUGGAGCUUUACUGUAGCCUGAUAUUGAAAUU
rnacentral:rRNA from 1 species